UACGUAGGGGCCUAGCGUUGUCCGGAAUUAUUGGGCGUAAAGAGCGCGUAGGCGGUCCGAUAAGUCGGCUGUGAAAGUCAGGGGCUCAACCCUUGGAAGCCGGCCGAUACUGUCGGACUAGAGUCCGGAAGAGGCGAGUGGAAUUCCAGGUGUAGCGGUGAAAUGCGUAGAUAUCGGGAGGAACACCUGUGGCGAAGGCGGCCCCCUGGUUGGAUACUGACGCUGAUACGCGAAAGCGUGGGGAGCAAACAGG
rnacentral:rRNA from 1 species